rnacentral:rRNA from 1 species
GGUUAAGCGACUAAGCGUACACGGUGGAUGCCCUGGCAGUCAGAGGCGAUGAAGGACGUGCUAAUCUGCGAUAAGCGUCGGUAAGGUGAUAUGAACCGUUAUAACCGGCGAUUUCCGAAUGGGGAAACCCAGUGUGUUUCGACACACUAUCAUUAACUGAAUCCAUAGGUUAAUGAGGCGAACCGGGGGAACUGAAACAUCUAAGUACCCCGAGGAAAAGAAAUCAACCGAGAUUCCCCCAGUAGCGGCGAGCGAACGGGGAGGAGCCCAGAGCCUGAAUCAGUGUGUGUGUUAGUGGAAGCGUCUGGAAAGGCGCGCGAUACAGGGUGACAGCCCCGUACACAAAAAUGCACAUGCUGUGAGCUCGAUGAGUAGGGCGGGACACGUGGUAUCCUGUCUGAAUAUGGGGGGACCAUCCUCCAAGGCUAAAUACUCCUGACUGACCGAUAGUGAACCAGUACCGUGAGGGAAAGGCGAAAAGAACCCCGGCGAGGGGAGUGAAAAAGAACCUGAAACCGUGUACGUACAAGCAGUGGGAGCACGCUUAGGCGUGUGACUGCGUACCUUUUGUAUAAUGGGUCAGCGACUUAUAUUCUGUAGCAAGGUUAACCGAAUAGGGGAGCCGAAGGGAAACCGAGUCUUAACUGGGCGUUAAGUUGCAGGGUAUAGACCCGAAACCCGGUGAUCUAGCCAUGGGCAGGUUGAAGGUUGGGUAACACUAACUGGAGGACCGAACCGACUAAUGUUGAAAAAUUAGCGGAUGACUUGUGGCUGGGGGUGAAAGGCCAAUCAAACCGGGAGAUAGCUGGUUCUCCCCGAAAGCUAUUUAGGUAGCGCCUCGUGAAUUCAUCUCCGGGGGUAGAGCACUGUUUCGGCAAGGGGGUCAUCCCGACUUACCAACCCGAUGCAAACUGCGAAUACCGGAGAAUGUUAUCACGGGAGACACACGGCGGGUGCUAACGUCCGUCGUGAAGAGGGAAACAACCCAGACCGCCAGCUAAGGUCCCAAAGUCAUGGUUAAGUGGGAAACGAUGUGGGAAGGCCCAGACAGCCAGGAUGUUGGCUUAGAAGCAGCCAUCAUUUAAAGAAAGCGUAAUAGCUCACUGGUCGAGUCGGCCUGCGCGGAAGAUGUAACGGGGCUAAACCAUGCACCGAAGCUGCGGCAGCGACGCUUAUGCGUUGUUGGGUAGGGGAGCGUUCUGUAAGCCUGUGAAGGUGUGCUGUGAGGCAUGCUGGAGGUAUCAGAAGUGCGAAUGCUGACAUAAGUAACGAUAAAGCGGGUGAAAAGCCCGCUCGCCGGAAGACCAAGGGUUCCUGUCCAACGUUAAUCGGGGCAGGGUGAGUCGACCCCUAAGGCGAGGCCGAAAGGCGUAGUCGAUGGGAAA